rnacentral:rRNA from 1 species
AUGUAUCUGUAUGACGAUGGUUACUUUUUUGGGGAGAUUAUGCUAAAUCUUCUUCAGUUUAAGACUCAUGUGGGGCUGUUUUUGUGCGCUUCCUCUUAUUCUUUUUUUAUGUUCUUGAUCCUCAUUUUGUCCCAUGCAACGCAAGGAACGAGUUCAAACGUGCAACCCGCAACUGGUUGCUCUUCGAGUGUUAUAAGGGGUAUACAUUCCUCAUUGAUGUUUAGGAAAGGACGAAGCAGGACCUGCAUAUGCGGUCAUGGAUGGGAGGACUUCAUCAAACACGACAAUCUAAGGGGUAUGGGAGAAUUGUCCCGUUUUGAACCGACUGAGGCAGUGCCCAAGUUGUCGCCCCAGGGCCUAGUGUUGCUGAACUAG